rnacentral:rRNA from 1 species
GUGGGGAAUCUUGCGCAAUUGGCGAAAGCCUUACGCAGCCAUGCCGCGUGAAUGAUGAAGGUCUUAGGAUUGUAAAAUUCUUUCACCGGGGACGAUAAUGACGGUACCCGGAGAAGAAGCUCCGGCUAACUUCGUGCCAGCAGCCGCGGUAAUACGAAGGGGGCUAGCGUUGCUCGGAAUUACUGGGCGUAAAGGGCGCGUAGGCUGACAGCUUAGUCAGAGGUGAAAGCCCAGGGCUCAACCUUGGAAUUGCCUUUGAUACUGGCUGUCUUGAGUUUGGGAGAGGUGAGUGGAACUCCGAGUGUAGAGGUGAAAUUCGUAGAUAUUCGGAAGAACACCAGUGGCGAAGGCGACUCACUGGCCCAAUACUGACGCUGAUGCGAGAAAGCGUGGGGAGCAAACAGGAUUAGAAACCCCGGUAGUAC